UCAUCUUUUUUUGUUCAAUUGAUUUUCCUUUACUGCUUCUUUUGUAAUUAAAUAGGUGUGUUUUAGUGUAUCAUUUUUAUUACUUAGUUCAUUUUUGCUCUAUGAAAAUUUUUUUUCUGAAUGGAUUAGGGUUUACAACAUGCAUUCCACCUUAUCACAGUCUAUUUUAGUUUAAGACUGACUUUGUAUUCAACUUUCAGUUUAAUACUGACUUUGUAUUAAAGUUUGUGCAGUAGUAUGCACAAACUUUGCUUCACUAUAGAUCCAUGUCACCCUCUUUUGUGCUAUUAUUAUCACAUACAUCUAUAUAUCUUAUAUACCUAACAAGGCAAUAUUAUUAUUAUUGCUUUGUAUAACCUAUGCUUAAAGAAGUUAAAGCAAGAAAAUAGAAAAAUGUAUGUAUGAUUUCUUUUAACAUAUGAUAACCUAUAUGGUUACUGUUUCCAUUACUCUUAAUUUUUUAAAUGUGGAAUUGAUUUAUGACUUGGUAGCAUUUCUUUGCACAUAUAACUAUAUUCUUUCCCUCUUUCUUUGUGCCAUUAUUAUUAUAUAUAUUGCCUCUUUCUACAUUAUGUGUCCUACAACACAAUUUUACAAGUACUGUUUUAUGCAGUUCUUUUUUAAAUCAUUUGAGACAAGAAAAGACAAAAAUUAUGUAGUCUUCUAUAAUUACCUGCACAGUUACCUUUAACAAUGUUUAUUUUUCUUCAUGUGGAUUUGAAUUAAGGUCUGUUGUCAUUUUCUUUCAUCCUAAUGAACUUUAUGUUUUGUGAAGCAGUUCUGCUAACAGUGAAUUCUUUCAGUCUUUAAUAGGAGAUUUCUUAAUUUUGCCUUCAUUUUGAGGAAUGUUUUUGCUAGAUACAGAGAUUUUGUUUGACAGCUGUUUGUUUCUUUGAGUUCGGGAAGACAUCCUCCCAAUGUCUUCUGCCUUCCAUUAUUUCUGAUUGGAAGUUGGCUGUUCAUCUUAUUUUGGGUGCCUUGUACAUAGUGAGUCAUUUUACCCUUGAUAUUUUCUAGAUCUCCUCUUUUUCUUUGCCUUUCAACAGUUAUAUAUGAAAUGUGUAGAUGUGGAUCUCUUUGUGUUUAUCCUAUUUAGAAUUAUUUGAGAAUUUUGGAAGUUUAGAUUAAGUUUUUCAUUAAAUUUGGGGAGGUUUUUACCAUUAUUUCUUCAAAUACUUUUUCAGAACCUUUUUCUCCUUUUCUUCUUGGAAUCCUCAUUAUGUGUAUGUUUGUUAUAUUUGAUGGUGUGCCUCAGGUCUGUUAUGUUCUGCUUAUUUUCUUCAUUUUUCCCCCUGUUCUUCAGAUUUACAACCUGGAUCAAUCUGUUUUGAAAUGCACUGAUUCUUUCUUCUGCCAUUCAAAUCUGCUGGUGAGGUUCUCUAGUGAAUUUUUUAUUUGUUGUUGUACUUUCAAAUUUCAGAAUGUCCAGUUGGUUCUAUUUAAGAAUUUCUACCCUUUUGUUGAUAUUCUUUAUUUGAUGAAUUAUGACAUCAUGCUUCCCAUUAAAUCUUCAAACUUUUUUGGAAGGGGAUCUUUGAAUGUAUUUAUAACAGCUGAUUUGAAGUCUUUUUCUGUUGAGUCCAUCAUGUAGGCUCUCUCAGAGAUAGUAUCUAUUGACUGUUUUUUUCCUUUCGGAAUGGUAAAUUUUUAAUUUUUGCAUGCCUAAUAUUUUUGCUGAAAACUGAACAUUUUAGAUAAUAUAUUGUAGCAACUGUAUAAUCUGAUUCCCCAUCUCUUCCCUCACACAUACUUACAGUUAAUGGUUGUUCCUUUUUUGUUUUUUUGUUUUUGCUUGUUUUGGGUUUAUUACUUUAGUUUCUUACUGCAGUGAUUCUAUGGAGCAUGUUUCCCUCAUAAUGUAUGGCUGCUGUUGUCUCUACUUCAUUGCAUUUGCCACCACCCUUACCACUUAUAUAAGCCUAGCCUUCUAGGGACCACCCCUGAAGUCAAAAUAGUUUAGUGCUCAGUUACAGAUUGGCUAGAGAUUGUAUCUAAACACUUAGAACCCCUAAAUCACUGUCUUCCGCUUUUAUGAUGGAUCCAUAAAUGAUUUGGGGAAUGAAUCAACAGUCAGCCUAUUUACCAGUCUGGCCCAAAUCUUCAUUUUUGUGUUGUAAAGUCUCAUGUUCAGCAGAAAUAAGUAGCUUACUAAGGCUUUCUGCAGGCUCUCUGAGCAAGUGUGCAGCUUUGUGCAUAUGCACAGUUUUCUAGGCCAUCAGAGAUAAGUAGGAUUGCAUCAAUGCCCUCUUUCAGUUCCUGGAUUUGCCUAUUAAUUUUCUGACUGGCCUACUGGUUUGUUGCUUGCUUCAAUCAGUUAUGAGAUUUCAGGGUAGCUGCAGUGUUGUCCUUUCCUGAUUGUUUGCAUUAAGAUCACUAUUGUUUUUGACAAUGCCCUUUGUCAUAGAAUUUUCCAUUUUAUGCUCCACAUAAAAUCAGUCAUUUCCAGGAUCAGAGCCUUCAUCUUCAUUUGGUGGAGCAGUG